rnacentral:rRNA from 1 species
UAGGGAAUCUUCGGCAAUGGACGAAAGUCUGACCGAGCAACGCCGCGUGAGUGAAGAAGGUUUUCGGAUCGUAAAACUCUGUUGUUAGAGAAGAACAAGGACGUUAGUAACUGAACGUCCCCUGACGGUAUCUAACCAGAAAGCCACGGCUAACUACGUGCCAGCAGCCGCGGUAAUACGUAGGUGGCAAGCGUUGUCCGGAUUUAUUGGGCGUAAAGCGAGCGCAGGCGGUUUCUUAAGUCUGAUGUGAAAGCCCCCGGCUCAACCGGGGAGGGUCAUUGGAAACUGGGAGACUUGAGUGCAGAAGAGGGGAGUGGAAUUCCAUGUGUAGCGGUGAAAUGCGUAGAUAUAUGGAGGAACACCAGUGGCGAAGGCGGCUCUCUGGUCUGUAACUGACGCUGAGGUUCGAAAGCGUGGGGAGCAAACAGG